rnacentral:lncRNA from 10 species
AGCCUAAUAAGGGAACUGGGCAGGUGGGGAUAACUAAAAAGGAGUGCUUAAAAGAGUAUUUUCUGAGUUGGCACUAGAGUUGGGGAGUUUUAAGAGGUUUAGAAGCCUGGCCGUCAAUACCCACAACAGUUAUGGAGGCAAGGGAAACAGGCCCUUGAAAAGAAGGUAAUGUGGAGUGGGUAGCCUCCAUAUUGAUUAAGAAGGGGACGGGCUUACCUUUCACUGUGAGAGUUACCCAAAGCUCGGCGUUCGUGAUGGUCUAGGGGGCUUCCGAGGCGAUCGGGCAGUGUCAGUCUUCAGCCGCUAAGCCGAGAAGAUCUGGGAAGGAGUCAGUCAGAGAGCCUUGGGCCAGAGUUCCAGGGGCUCUGGGAGUGGCUGCCAGGUGAGUUGAACAGUCCGAUUUUCAGUGGGGUCCCACACAGAUGGGACGCGGCUUAGGAGGAAUCCCGGGCAGCGGGCAUUCCUUGGCCCAGUGGCCAGAUUUCCGGCACGUGUAGCAAGCUCCUGUGGGAGGAGGUUCUGGAGGAACACCUGGCCGCUGCGGUUCAGGCGUUUGGAAGUUCUCGUGUGCUGGAGAUGUGGCUGGGGUUUGUCUCACAGUGAAG